rnacentral:rRNA from 1 species
GCUAAUUAUCUAGCCCCACCCUUCUUUAUUUAUUCUCUUAAUCAUUUUCUUUCAAUCAAAACAUUUUAUCAAUUUAGUAAAGGCGAUUAAAAAAUUUAUCGGCGCAAUAAACACAGUACCGCAAGGGAAAGAUGAAAUAAAAAUGAAAUAAUUUUUAAGCACAAGAAAGUAGAGCUUAACUCUCGUACCUUUUGCAUCAUGGUUUAACUAGUCUAACCAAGCAAAAAGACCUUCAGUUUGACCCCCCGAACCUAAGCGAGCUACUUUAGGACAGCUUUAUGAGCGAAUCCGUCUCUGUUGCAAAAGAGUGGAAAGAUCUUAAAGUAGAGGUGACAGACUUAACGAGCUUAGUGAUAGCUGGUUGCUCAUGAAAAGGAUUUUAGUCCCGCUUAAAGACACAUUUAUUUUUUAAAAUUAUCUUUUAAGUAACUCAAAUAAGGUACAGCCUAUUUGAAAAAGGAUACAACCUCAACCUCUGGGUAAUUUCUAUGAAUUUAUGACUAAGUAGGCCUAAAAGCAGCCACCUUCAACAAAAGCGUCAAAGCUUACUCAUUAAUUCACUUAAUUUCUUCAUCUUCCUCCAACCCCCCACUGUUAAAGAGCAGCUCUAUACCCCUAUAGAAAAUUUUAUGUUAAAACUAGUAAUAAGAAGAAAGCCCUUCUCUUUAAUGUUAGUGUAAACCAGUAAGGAUCCCCCACUGGUUAUUAACGUCCUUAACCCAUUAGUAACAACUCAUCAAGAAAAAAUUAUUUAAACUUACGUUAACCUAACACAAGAACAUUACAAGAAAGAUUUAAAGAAAAAGAAGGAACUCGGCAAAUAUUAGCCCCGCCUGUUUACCAAAAACAUCGCCUCCUGACUCCAAAUAGGAGGUCCAGCCUGCCCAGUGACAUUGUUUAACGGCCGCGGUAUCCUAACCGUGCGAAGGUAGCGUAAUCACUUGUUCUUUAAAUGAGGACUAGUAUGAAUGGCUUCACGAAGGCUAUACUGUCUCCUUUUUCUAAUCAAUGAAACUAAUCUUCUCGUGAAGAAGCGAGAAUAAAAUUAUAAGACGAGAAGACCCUAUGGAGCUUUAAACAAGAAAAUAUUUACUUUUUAUUUUUCAUCUACCAAGAGUAAAAUACAGCCAAGCACUUUAUUUUUAGUUUUAGGUUGGGGUGACCGCGGAGAAUAAACUAUCCUCCAUGCUGAAAGAAAUUCCAUCUCUUAGCGAAAAGCUACAGCUUGACGCAUCAAUAAAUUGACUUUCAUUGACCCAAUAAUUUGAUCAACGAACCAAGUUACCCUAGGGAUAACAGCGCAAUCUAUUUCAAGAGCUCAUAUCGACAAAUAGGUUUACGACCUCGAUGUUGGAUCAGGGUAUCCUAGUGGUGCAGCCGCUACUGACGGUUCGUUGUUCAACGAUAAAA